CAAAUUCUUAAAUAAUUAUUCUUAAUAACAAGAAGAAGAAUUCUCAGGAAGGUGAAGAAGUGCAAAGACCUCAAAAAUACAACACAUUCCGAGGCUAUCUCUAGCAAACCAUUUCAAAAUAUUUCAGAGACUUAAAAAGUUCAUUACGUUCACGGGACUCUAUCUGUACUUCUUGUGUAAGGUUCUGGAGAUUUUCUUAAUUGUGACAAUACUAUUUUCUUGUUUAUAUAUGAAAAACAAAUUUUCAAAUAAUUAUUCUUAAUAACAAGAAGAAGAAUUCUCAGGAAGGUGAAGAAGUGCAAAGACCUCAAAAAUACAACACAUUCCGAGGAUAGAGAUAGCAAAGCAUUUCAAAGUAUUUCAGAGACUUAAAAAGUUCAUUACGUUUACGGGACUCUGUCUGUACUUCUUGUGAUUUUGUCCAAAAAGCUCUAAAGGUUUUAAUACUACAUUUCCGAUAUUGAGACAUUUCAAACACUUAUAAGAGCCAUUACGUCCACGGAACUCUACUCGAACUUUCUCUGUGAGGUUUUAAAGAAAUUUUUUUUGUUUGUGUCAACACUAUUGCUGCCAUAAUUAAUUAACAACCGAAAAAUAAUGAAAGUGAGAAAGGCUGCGUUUAGUACCUCCAACCAAAUUUGCUUUAACUGCAUUCAAUUGAGGAAACGUAAUAUCUAAGGUUCAAGACGUUCCAUAGACUUAAGAACUUUAUUGCGUUCACGGCAAUCUAACUGUAAGAUCUGAAGAUAUUAGUCUUAGCUAUAACUGAAAUAAAGAUUUCAGUACUCUCGUCUAAUCUCUGAAAGUAUGGAGGAAUCUGCAAAUAUCAACCAAGUAAUCUAUUUGAAAUGCUAUAAAUAUGUCAAUAAACCGUCAACUAUGAAAAAUAAGCUAUACCCGUAUAUGUAUCGCAGAGAUAAGUCGUUAGAAGCUGCAAGGAGAGUUAUGGUUCCAGUUAAUUCUCCUAUCAUAGUCGGUAAUAACGAAAAAAAUAAGUGUAGCGGAAAGGAAAGUCAAGAAAUACAGAAAGAUAAUGCCAAAGAAGUCGUUGUGCCUUUAGCCAGUCAAAAUAAGCAAGAAGAAUUAAGAUCAAAAAUAUCAAAAGAGGUAAAAAGAAUUAAUGAAUCUGCUGUGAAGAAGCCAUCGAUAUUCAAGCCGAAAAGAUAUCCGGUAAUGUACAAAGGAAGAAAGCCAAUCAAGGACACUAUAAUCCAGCUUGAAUAAGAAAGCCCAUCUUAAACAAAAAUAGUGUACAAGGUCUAUCAAUACUAAAACAAUUCAUCUUUAAAUAUCUGCUGACAUUUUUCAACUUAAAAUUGUUAUUACUCCACAAAUCUAAUUAAUCAGAUUAAAAAAUGUGUAGGUUUAAUAGAAUAAGUAUUAAAAGGAGUCUAUCACUCAAGUAUUAAGACGUAUAUCUUCAACAAACCCAAAUUUGACUGCAGUUGUAUACAAACGAGGUUUGCAACAUAUCGAGUAUAUUAAAACAGUGUAACAUUACAUUGAGUAAUAAAGCAAACAUCAUCAAAAUAUUAUAGGUAUAUAAUAAAUAUCAAGCUUUAAAAAUCAGAGUUACAAACUUUGCCGAAGCCGAAAACCAUUGUGCAUAACGGUUUAUCUACGAGUAGAAGUGUUUCGAUGUUAAAUUAAACCAGCUAUUAAGAAAAAAGAUAUUGGCCACUGACUUUGUGAAUCAUUAUUGCGACUGAUAUGGGUUAUUUGGACACUCAAAAGACAGAUAUUAUCUUGCUUACAGAUACACAGACACAUGGACACGAUAUUUUGUUACAAAUACAAUAUUUGCAUUGCAAUAUACAACACAUAUUAACAUAUUAAAUAAUAUAACAAGAAUUCUGACAACGACAUUGUCUGGAUAUCAACAUCUCUAAAUGCCAUAUCAAUUUAUUCUUAAUGAUAACUGACCUCUACUGAAUAACGUAGAUACUAUUAGCAGUUUUCUAAAGUAUACAGCAGUCUACGAACUUCCACGUGUUAGUAUAUCGAGAAUUUUAACAAGAUCCAUUGCAGUUUCUUAAUAUGUCCGGUUACCAAAAUAUUCUCAACACAAUAUCGAAGGCAAGGAGUGCAUUUUUCUUCCUGUAGAGUAGAUGCAACUGCUGCUCGUUUUGCGAAAAAAUUGAGUUAUCCAAAUAUUCAAACCAUAACCUCCACCUACUGCAGCUCAUCUUCUACGAAAACCUUAAGAAACACAAGUAUUCAAACCAUAACGCUCAGCUAUUGCAGCUCGUCUUGUGCGAAAACCUAAAAUAAACUUUUUUCGAUUUCAUAUUGAAAAUAUUUCUAAACCCAUCUAUGUCAUAAUGAAAUACUUGAAAAAUGUAAUACAUGCUACUAUAAUGGAAGACUCAUGUUCAUGUGUGUUCUAAAAUUUUAUUAUUUAUUCACUAAACAAUAUCAGCAGCGAAAUAUAUUGUAAAUAUCAUAAAGAUGUUUCACUUGUUAACCGUGACCGUACUAGAGAGAUUGUGUGUUCUGUGUGUGGACUAAUUCUUGAUCGAAUAAUUGAUGUUGGCUAUGAGUGAUGGUUAUGUUUUAAAAAUGGGCCAAUAUAAGCAAAAAAUCUGCGGUAAUUGCUUUGGCAUCCCUUGGCUUAAUAUAGGAAAUCGAACGAACCUUAAUGUGCUCUUCCUACAACUUCUUCGUUAAGCCAAAUUUAAUCCAAUAGGUAUUAUACGAUUAUAAUGGACGAUUAUAAAGUUAUGUGCGGUCGCAUAUUACAGCGUAUGGAAAGGGAGUUCGGAUUAAUUUAACCCAAAUAAUUCUCGACCGAGAAAGAUAAGUAUAUUAAACACCAACCUUUAAGAACUGUUUAAAUUGUGUGAUAAAUGUGUUAAUUGAUCAACUUACAGACAUACUUUUGGAAUUACUUUAAAUGAUGUAUUGAAGGUUUCUUUUUUAAGAAUAUGUGCUAUUGAUUUCUUCUGCAAUAUAUCGUUGAGCUUUACAGAAUUAUUUUAUUUUCAUAUAAGAAUUGUUUAAAAGAAAUAUGUUAUCGGUAUUUAUGUUAACAGUAUAUAAUAUGUGAGUAUAAAUUUCAGAUUCAUGAACUGCACUAAAUACAUUAUUCAAUUUGAACUAAAUCAGCAGCGUGCUUACUAAUACAUUGUCGUCAAGAAGGCGCAUGGCAUUCUUUUAAAGAAAUUCCUAUUGUGCUCUUUCUAAUAUGAAUGAUGGAUAUUGGACCUUCCUAUAAGAAAAUUACAGGACUCCUAGAGUACAGCGUUGACUGUGUUACCAAUUGUUAUCAAUGAAUAUUUUCUAGCAGGCUUUUGCGCAAAUAGGUUUGACCGAUAUGAUGAAAAGUACUGCAAUCAAUAUAUCAAGACAAGAGAAUGAAAUGCGAAAUGCGAUCAAUAAAUCUCCAAUAAUUGAUAAUAAUGUCAGAUUACCAGUAUUAGCUCAAGCCAAAAAAUAGUAGCAAUGCGGCAGAUGUGAGUGAAGUAAUCAUUAGAGAGACUAAAAACGCUCUGAUGUCUAAAUAUUAUGAGUUAAACUGCAAAUUCGUGCCAAAAUAAUAUAUAUUAAGAGGAUA